CCCUUAGAUGUUCUGGGCCGCACGCGCGUUACAAUGAAUCGUUCAACAGGUUUUUUUCCUGAGCCGAAAGGUUUGGGUAAUCCUUUAAAUACGGUUCGUGCUAGGGAUAGAUUUUUGCAAUUAUUAAUCUUGAACGAGGAAUAUUUAGUAAACGCAGGUCAUCAGCCUGCAUUGAUUACGUCCCUGCCCUUUGUACACACCGCCCGUCGCACCAACCGAUUGGAUGUGGAUGUAUAUUGUGUGAAUUUAUUUUUGUGCGAUAAAUAGAAACGUAUUAAAACUGGUCAUCUAGAGGAUGGUGAAGUCGUANCA
rnacentral:rRNA from 1 species